UGAGGAAUAUUGGGCAAUGCCCGCAAGGGUGACCCAGCAACGCCGCGUGGAGGAUGAAUGUCGUAAGAUUGUAAACUCCUGUUAGAGGGGAAGAAUAGUACCGGUUGGACCGGUAUAUGACUGUACCCUCAGAGAAAGCCCCGGCUAACUAUGUGCCAGCAGCCGCGGUAAUACGUAGGGGGCAAGCGUUGUCCGGAUUUACUGGGUGUAAAGGGCGCGCAGGCGGGAUAAAAAGUCAGUGGUGAAAUCCUACAGCUUAACUGUGGAACUGCCUUUGAUACUUUUAUUCUUGAGUUCGGGAGAGAGAGACGGAAUUCCAGGUGUAGUGGUGAAAUACGUAGAUAUCUGGAGGAACACCAGUUGCGAAGGCGGUCUCUUGGUCCGACACUGACGCUGAGGCGCGAAAGCGUGGGGAGCAAACA
rnacentral:rRNA from 1 species